CGCAGAGUGACAGCCCUACGGGGCUGGUAAUGCGGCAAGCUGGGCACAAGCCCAG
rnacentral:ribozyme from 2 species